rnacentral:lncRNA from 1 species
ACUUGUCUCUAGUAAUUAUACAGAAUACCCUCCUCACCUCCGAUAUCGAUGAAAUAAUAUUGAAUCGACGCGUUUUUGCAAGAGAAACAACUUUUCUAUUUGAAAAAAUCGUCGCUCUGCCUUGUGGAGCAAGAUAUAAAUUGUUAAAGUUGAGGACAAUUUAGGUUAGGAAAUCUGUCACGGAGGCAACAGUGGUACAAGAUUUGAAGCAUGUUUUUAUUCAUCGCCGGAUUCAGAGACUAAUCAUAAUGAAAUUUCACUUAACAAAGAAAGUGAGAAACAGACAAAAACGCAAUUAGAGCCUUACUCUUUCAAAUUCGAAGGUCAGGUAAUUUUAGAUGCAAACAAUGUCAUAAUGAAAUUAUGCUGAAUAGCACAGUACUUCUGGAGCUAAGCAAAAAGUUGGAUUCAGUGUUGAUUAAUCAGGCAAUCAUUAUGCGGUCUGUCAACCCAGAUCAUGCCAAGUCUGAUAUCUUCUAAUAUUCCAAAUAUUCCUCUAAAAACAAAAGAAGACUUUCAAAAGAUGGACAUAUUUUUGACAGCUAAUCGUAUUAAUUUUGAAGCUGUGCGAGAUCUAGUUCAUUCUAAAUGUGCCAGUGCUUUAAGCACAUUAUCUGUUCCUUCAGAGCACAGUAUCACAGGAAAUGUUUUGUUGAAGUUCUCAAAUAGUCUUGCCAAACUGAUAAGUUAGAGUGGGUCAGAAGGCAAUAAGAUAAAGUUCUCAGAGACAAAACAAUGUGAAAUUGUAUUUAGUGCAGUAAAUUACGAUUUCCUCAUAGCUUUCUUACUGACGCUGAAGCCAAAAUCAAGCGUUGGUUCCAAACUGCGAAUGGUAGAAGAGUUAAUGAAUCUCAUGACUCUGAUACUUAACGCAAUUCACUCACAUAUAUUAUAGUUUUUCAUUACUGAUAUUAUGAUUACAGGAUUAUUAUUGAUGUUAAUUUUUUGUUUGUAUUCUUUUAGGAUGCGUUCCUUUGUUCGCAUGAAACGCAUGCUACAUACUACUGUGAUCAAAAAAUAAGGUGAAUUUGUUUAUAAAAUGAAAAA